AGAGUUUGAUCCUGGCUCAGAUUGAACGCUGGCGGCAGGCUUAACACAUGCAAGUCGAGCGGAAACGAUGUAGCUUGCUACAGGCGUCGAGCGGCGGACGGGUGAGUAACGCGUAGGAACCUACCUAAUAGUUUGGGAUAGCCAUUGGAAACGAUGAUUAAUACCGGAUACGCCCUACGGGGGAAAGCAGAGGACCUUCGGGCUUUGCGCUAUUAGAUGGGCCUGCGUAAGAUUAGCUAGUUGGUGAGGUAAUGGCUCACCAAGGCGACGAUCUUUAGCUGGUCUGAGAGGAUGAUCAGCCACACUGGAACUGAGACACGGUCCAGACUCCUACGGGAGGCAGCAGUGGGGAAUAUUGCACAAUGGGCGAAAGCCUGAUGCAGCCAUGCCUCGUGUGUGAAGAAGGCUCUAUGGUUGUUAAAGCACUUUCAGUUCUGGAGGAAAGGUUUAUUGAUUUAAUUACCUGGG
rnacentral:rRNA from 1 species